CCUUGAUCCUGUUUCAUUCUGACCCUCUGCUAAUCAUCUGAUCCACGCAAUCUAAACUCACCUAUGGAACAAGAGACACCAGCACCAUCCAGCCCCUUUAUUGAUCAUCAUUCUUUGCCAGAGGAAUUGUGUGAAAUGAAUACAGAGUUUUGUGAGGAAGAUGUAACAUACACUCAAGUCAAAAUUUAUGACUCUUCAAAUCAGGAGAGGGAAAAAAACAGGAUUUUAAAGAGAAGAGGAUCUCCAUGGUGCAUUGCUGCAGUGAUAUUUGCCUUGCUCUAUUUAAUUGCUCUGAUAAUAGCUUCAAUUAUGAUAGCUAAAGUUUCUUGUCUAGAAGGGAUUCUGAAGACAAAUGAAACCAGUCUGCAAAGAGGGGUUUCAUACUGCGAAAUAAUAUAGCCAAACAGGUAACUGGUCCUUCUCUGAAGAAAAUUGAUAUUUUACUUGUGCUGAAAAUAAAAUCUUGGCAACAAGGAAAAUGUUCUCAGGUACUGAGAUCCAGUCUAAUCAAGACACAUAACAAGGAAGAACUGGAAAUAUAUGGCAUGAUAUUUCUUUCUAUAUUUUUUUGUGCAGAAGAUAAGUAUAGAGAUAUUUUUACAUCUUGAGUUCAUUCAAACAUGCUAAACUCUAUAUAUUAUAAUAUUUGGAGCUUUCUUAACCAAACCCAAAAUAUCAAAAUAUGGGCUUAAAUGAUUAUGUGAUGCUUAAAUUAUAAAUAUAUUUGCAUAGAAAAGUAAAUAUUGAUAUAUUACAAUUUCAGACCUUGGCAAAUGAAGGGGGGAUACCACAUAGAACAUAAAACUAAAGGGCAUUCAGUCAUAAUUAGCACUUAAGAAAUAUUUAACAUCUAUUGAUUUCUUCUAGUAUUCAUAUACUACUUGAAUAUAUCAUGUAUUAAAGCUGUACUGCCCCAAUAACCUUAUUAUUGUUGUUGCCAAAUGAUAAAGAAGCAGGCCAAGAGAAGAUAAGAAAUAUUUCCAGAAUUGUCUAGCUAGUAAGAAUUAGAGACAUGAUUUAAGCCAAUAUUGCUUUACUCUAGAGAACAUGCAUCAAACCAUUACAACAUGCUGACCCUAAAAUAAAAAAUCAUAUCACAUCAAGUUGUAAGAAUAUUGCUUCUUUAUAAAUAUACAGAGCUAUAGAUUUACUUUUUUCUCCAGGAUAUAUAUUUCAGAGAGGAAUAAAUGAGAAAAAUAACU